GAUGGAAAGCGCUCCUCGCCACUGCCAACACUUGAGCUUCCAAAGUCAGCUCCGGGUCGAGGAGCACUCCCAAGCUGUGGACCUGGUCCUUUAGAAGGAGUGCAACCCCAUUCAGGACAAGAUCCACGUCACCUACCCAGGAGCUCGAUCCACCCAGUCCAGCACUCCAUCU